AUGGGAGAUUUUCCAGCGUAGCUGACCGGCCGCCAUCUUGCUACAGUCAACAGUUACUCUGAUUUGCGCUAUGGUAGCUGUUGUAAGAAGUACCUGACUAUGCCGGACUUUUGUGCAGCCUACGGCUGCUCUAAUCACCGCAGUCUGCAAACAAGAACCCGUGGGAUCACCUUUCACGUGUUUAAGGCAGUGGGAACUCGCCCUAAGAAGAGACGGUUUUGUUUCCUGUGACAGGACACUGCUCUGCAGUGAGCACUUCAGGAGUGAGGAAUUUGACCGGACAGGGCAGACUAAUGGUGAAUCGCUACCACUAGGAGCAUAUAUCGCCACCUACUAUGUAUUUAUUAAAUCUUCAUGUUCCAUGAGACGCAGCACUAUGUUCCCCACAUAUGUUUAUGUUUGCUCAGUCUAAUAAACCCAUAACAUGGUUGUGAAAGAAUACCAAA